UUGGGGCUUGAUAUCUAUCCUUAAAAAAUCAAUAGUGUUCCAUCACUUCAUGCUUGGACUCCUAAUGUAUGCAUAUGUUAAAAUGUUUUCCACUUGUUUUGUUUUGGCAGAUGCCCUUGUGUAUAAUGGAGCAAGUGUUUCUCGCCCACAGCCUGAUAGGAGGUGUUCUGCUUGUAACUAUGAUGAUCUUCGCCAGAGCGGCGUUACGCUCCAGCAGAACACAGGCUGUUGUUGUGAUGAAAACCCUGUCAACAGUGGUGGAGUGAACAGACCUUCACCACACAAAGAACCACACAGGCACAUUACACAGUAAAAUACUUUUCUAUGUUUGUAAAAGGUAAAUACAAUGGUAUGAUAGAAAUAGGAUUGAGCUAGUAUUUGCAAAACUCAGAUAUUUAAUGUGAUUCAUAUUAAUAGCUGCACAAAUGCCAAUCAUAUCUUCUUGGUUAUGUGAUAUUUCUCCUUGAUAUGUAUGACCUUAGUUAUCUAACCUAAUAUGUUACUCACUGUGCAAAGAAUGUAUGCUUCUUGUUAUUCUGGACUUACUUUUGAUAAGCAAAUAAAAUAGGUUUCUUAAGUUAUGUUGUGAAGCCUAGCAAAAGUAAAUAUUUUUUAUCUAGAGUAUAUAGAAUAAAAAAGUAAUGCAAUUGAUUA